CGCUGGCGGCGUGCUUAACACAUGCAAGUCGAACGGUGACGGAGAGCUUGCUCUCCUGAUCAGUGGCGAACGGGUGAGUAACACGUGGGCAACCUGCCCCAGACUUCGGGAUAACGCUUCGAAAGAGGUGCUAAUACCGAAUACGAACCUCCCUGGCAUCUGGGAGGUUGGAAAGUUUUCGGUCUGGGAUGGGCCCGCGGCCUAUCAGCUUGUUGGUGAGGUAACGGCUCACCAAGGCGACGACGGGUAGCCGGCCUGAGAGGGCGACCGGCCACACUGGGACUGAGACACGGCCCAGACUCCUACGGGAGGCAGCAGUGGGGAAUAUUGCGCAAUGGGCGAAAGCCUGACGCAGCAACGCCGCGUGAGGGAUGACGGCCUUCGGGUUGUAAACCUCUUUCAGCAGGGAAGAAGCGAAAGUGACGGUACCUGCAGAAGAAGCACCGGCUAACUACGUG
rnacentral:rRNA from 1 species